ACUGCAGUCGAGCGAACAGAUAAGGAGCUUGCUCCUUUGACGUUAGCGGCGGACGGGUGAGUAACACGUGGGUAACCUACCUAUAAGACUGGGAUAACUUCGGGAAACCGGAGCUAAUACCGGAUAACAUUUGGAACCGCAUGGUUCUAAAGUGAAAGAUGGUUUUGCUAUCACUUAUAGAUGGACCCGCGCCGUAUUAGCUAGUUGGUAAGGUAACGGCUUACCAAGGCAACGAUACGUAGCCGACCUGAGAGGGUGAUCGGCCACACUGGAACUGAGACACGGUCCAGACUCCUACGGGAGGCAGCAGUAGGGAAUCUUCCGCAAUGGGCGAAAGCCUGACGGAGCAACGCCGCGUGAGUGAUGAAGGGUUUCGGCUCGUAAAACUCUGUUAUUAGGGAAGAACAAAUGUGUAAGUAACUGUGCACAUCUUGACGGUACCUAAUCAGAAAGCCACGGCUAACUACGUGCCAGCAGCCGCGGUAAUACGUAGGUGGCAAGCGUUAUCCGGAAUUAUUGGGCGUAAAGCGCGCGUAGGCGGUUUCUUAAGUCUGAUGUGAAAGCCCACGGCUCAACCGUGGAGGGUCAUUGGAAACUGGGAAACUUGAGUGCAGAAGAGGAAAGUGGAAUUCCAUGUGUAGCGGUGAAAUGCGCAGAGAUAUGGAGGAACACCAGUGGCGAAGGCGACUUUCUGGUCUGUAACUGACGCUGAUGUGCGAAAGCGUGGGGAUCAAACAGGAUUAGAUACCCUGGUAGUCCACGCCGUAAACGAUGAGUGCUAAGUGUUAGGGGGUUUCCGCCCCUUAGUGCUGCAGCUAACGCAUUAAGCACUCCGCCUGGGGAGUACGACCGCAAGGUUGAAACUCAAAGGAAUUGACGGGGACCCGCACAAGCGGUGGAGCAUGUGGUUUAAUUCGAAGCAACGCGAAGAACCUUACCAAAUCUUGACAUCCUUUGAAAACUCUAGAGAUAGAGCCUUCCCCUUCGGGGGACAAAGUGACAGGUGGUGCAUGGUUGUCGUCAGCUCGUGUCGUGAGAUGUUGGGUUAAGUCCCGCAACGAGCGCAACCCUUAAGCUUAGUUGCCAUCAUUAAGUUGGGCACUCUAGGUUGACUGCCGGUGACAAACCGGAGGAAAGGUGGGGAUGACGUCAAAUCAUCAUGCCCCUUAUGAUUUGGGCUACACACGUGCUACAAUGGACAAUACAAAGGGCAGCUAAACCGCGAGGUCAUGCAAAUCCCAUAAAGUUGUUCUCAGUUCGGAUUGUAGUCUGCAACUCGACUACAUGAAGCUGGAAUCGCUAGUAAUCGUAGAUCAGCAUGCUACGGUGAAUACGUUCCCGGGUCUUGUACACACCGCCCGUCACACCACGAGAGUUUGUAACACCCGAAGCCGGUGUGAGUAACCAUUUAUGGAGCUAG
rnacentral:rRNA from 1 species